CGCGGGGAACUGAACAUCUAAGUACCCGUAGGAAAAUAGAUCAAUAGAGAUUCCGCAAGUAGUGGCGAGCGAACGCGGACGAGCCCAUAAAGUUUAUAUAGAUUUAGAUGAAUAUUCUGGAAAGGAUAACCAAAGAGGGUGAUAGUCCUGUAAUCAAAAGGUUUAUAUAAAUGAAGACGAGUAAGGCGGAACCGGAGAAAUUCUGUCUGAAUGUGCCAGCACCAUCUGGUAAGGCUAAAUACUCCCGAGAGACCGAUAGUGAACCAGUACCGUGAGGGAAAGGUGAAAAGAACCCCAAGAAGGGGAGUGAAAAGAUCCUGAAACCAUACGCUUACAAGCGGUCGGAGCACACUAGUUGUGUGACGGCGUGCCUUUUGCAUAAUGAUCCUACGAGUUACUCUUCACUAGCAAGUUUAAGUACCUAAGGUACGGAGGCGCAGCGAAAGCGAGUCUGAAUAGGGCGACUAGCUAGUGGAGGUAGACGCGAAACCCGGUGAUCUACCCAUGAGCAGGUUGAAGUUUGGAUAGUAUCCAAAUGGAGGACCGAACCAGUAUAUGUUGAAAAAUGUUUGGAUGACUUGUGGGUAGGGGUGAAAGGCCAAUCAAACCGGGAGAUAGCUCGUACUCCCCGAAAUGCAUUUAGGUGCAGCGUCGAGUAGAGUGUCAUGGAGGUAGAGCUACUGAUAGGGCUAGGGGGCUUCACCGCCUACCAACCCCUGACAAACUCCGAAUGCCAUGACAUUGCAUCGGCAGUGAG
rnacentral:rRNA from 1 species